rnacentral:snRNA from 1 species
GUGCUCACUUUGGCAGCACAUAUACUAAAAUUGGAAUAAUACAGGGAAAUUAGCGUGGCCCCUGCACAAGGACAACACAAAAAUUCAUAAAGCUUUCCAUAUAAAA